rnacentral:rRNA from 1 species
GUCCACGCCCUAAACGAUGUCGACUGGUUGUUGGGGUUUGUACACUCUCAGUAACGAAGCUAACGCGUGAAGUCGACCGCCUGGGGAGUACGGCCGCAAGGUUAAAACUCAAAGGAAAUUGACGGGGACCCGCACAAGCGGUGGAUUAUGUGGAUUAAUUCGAUGCAACGCGAAAAAACCUUAACCUACCCUUGACAUGUCCUGAAUCCAGCUGAGAGGUGGGAGUGCCCGAAAGGGAACGGGAACACAGGUGCUGCAUGGCUGUCGU